rfam:Camelus ferus unplaced genomic scaffold scaffold1842, whole genome shotgun sequence.
GAGGGUAUAGCUCAGUGGUAGAGUAUGUGCCGAGCAUGCACAAGGUCCUGGGUUCAAUCCCCAGCACCUCCA